GAUGAACGCUGGCGGCGUGCCUAAUACAUGCAAGUCGAGCGAACAGAUGAGGAGCUUGCUCCUCUGACGUUAGCGGCGGACGGGUGAGUAACACGUGGAUAACCUACCUAUAAGACUGGGAUAACUUCGGGAAACCGGAGCUAAUACCGGAUAAUAUAUUGAACCGCAUGGUUCAAUAGUGAAAGACGGUUUUGCUGUCACUUAUAGAUGGAUCCGCGCCGCAUUAGCUAGUUGGUAAGGUAACGGCUUACCAAGGCAACGAUGCGUAGCCGACCUGAGAGGGUGAUCGGCCACACUGGAACUGAGACACGGUCCAGACUCCUACGGGAGGCAGCAGUAGGGAAUCUUCCGCAACGGGCGAAAGCUUGACGGAGCAACGCCGCGUGAGUGAUGAAGGUCUUCGGAUCGUAAAACUCUGUUAUUAGGGAAGAACAAAUGUGUAAGUAACUAUGCACGUCUUGACGGUACCUAAUCAGAAAGCCACGGCUAACUACGUG
rnacentral:rRNA from 1 species